rnacentral:rRNA from 1 species
CCUACGGGGGGCAGCAGUGGGGAAUAUUGGUCAAUGGGCGCAAGCCUGACCCAGCAAUGCCGCGUGAAGGAAGAAGGCCCUCGGGUUGUAAACUUCUUUUGUCAAGGACGAAACAAAUGACGGUACGUGAUGAAUAAGCUACGGCUAACUUCGUGCCAGCAAACGCGGGAAUACGUAGGUGGCAAGCGGUAUCCGGAUUUACUGGGUGUAAAGGGCGUGUAGGCGGGACUGCAAGUUAGAUGUGAAAACCAUGGGCUCAACCCAUGGCCUGCCUUUGAAACUGUAGUGCUUGAGUGUUGGAGAGGCAGGCGGAAUUCCGUGUGUAGCGGUGAAAUGCGUAGAUAUACGGAAGAACACCAGUGGCGAAGGCGGCCUGCUGGACAAUAACUGACGCUGAGGCGCGAAAGCGUGGGGAGCAAACAGGAUUAGAUACCCGGGUAGUC